CGUGGAUCCCGAGAAAGAGGCGCAGGACGAGGAGGCAGAACCCGACUGGCGCGUAGAGCAGCAGCACGAGCAGUAGGAAGCAGUCACCCGGAAGCCUGGGGGCGAGAGGCGAAGUGGUCAGGCGCCGAAGGCCGAGAGCACGCGGGGAUCGGUCUCUUCCCGCCGGGUCUCUUACCGGUGCGAGUCAAAGAGCCGCUCCGGCCCCGGCCCUGAGGGAAGCUCCAUAACUGCUGCUUCAGGAGCGCCCGGCCGUCGCCGCCGCCGCCAUUUUCGCGCCCGGCCGCAGGGGCUCUUGGGAAGGCGGAGUCUUUGGGCAUCCGCCCGGGGUGAGGGGACCCGAAGUCCUGAGGCGCGCCGGAAGGGCUAGCGGUCCCAGCAUACCCCGCGGCCCCUUGGGCCGUCUCACAACUCGCGUCCGGCGGAGACCACAAUUCCCGGCAUUCGUGGGGCAGGGAGGAGUCGGCCUCCCGGAAUCCUGGUCCCGGCGUGCACUUCUGAAGGACUUCAGGUACCGGCGUGCCCCGCGUCCUACUGUCCGCCUGCUCGCGUCCUGGGUGCCGCCUCUGAGUAGGGCGGGCGAGGAGGCAGCCAAGGCGGAGCUGAUGGCUGCGCCGAGGGCGGGGCGGGGUGCAGGCUGGAGCCUUCGGGCAUGGCGGGCUUUGGGGGGCAUUCGCUGGGGGAGGAGACCCCGUUUGACCCCUGACCUCCGGGCCCUGCUGACGUCAGGAACUUCUGACCCCCGGGCCCGAGUGACUUAUGGGACCCCCAGUCUCUGGGCCCGGUUGUCUGUUGGGGUCACUGAACCCCGAGCAUGCCUGACGUCUGGGACCCCGGGUCCCCGGGCACAACUGACUGCGGUGACCCCAGAUACCAGGACCCGGGAGGCCUCAGAGAACUCUGGAACCCGUUCGCGCGCGUGGCUGGCGGUGGCGCUGGGCGCUGGGGGGGCAGUGCUGUUGUUGUUGUGGGGCGGGGGUCGGGGUCCUCCGGCCGUCCUCGCCGCCGUCCCUAGCCCGCCGCCCGCUUCUCCCCGGAGUCAGUACAACUUCAUCGCAGAUGUGGUGGAGAAGACAGCACCUGCCGUGGUCUAUAUCGAGAUCCUGGACCGGCACCCUUUCUUGGGCCGCGAGGUCCCUAUCUCGAACGGCUCAGGAUUCGUGGUGGCUGCCGAUGGGCUCAUUGUCACCAACGCCCAUGUGGUGGCUGAUCGGCGCAGAGUCCGUGUGAGACUGCUAAGCGGCGACACGUAUGAGGCCGUGGUCACAGCUGUGGAUCCCGUGGCAGACAUCGCAACGCUGAGGAUUCAGACUAAGGAGCCUCUCCCCACGCUGCCUCUGGGACGCUCAGCUGAUGUCCGGCAAGGGGAGUUUGUUGUUGCCAUGGGAAGUCCCUUUGCACUGCAGAACACGAUCACAUCCGGCAUUGUUAGCUCUGCUCAGCGUCCAGCCAGAGACCUGGGACUCCCCCAAACCAAUGUGGAAUACAUUCAAACUGAUGCAGCUAUUGAUUUUGGAAACUCUGGAGGUCCCCUGGUUAACCUGGUGAGUGAGACAUCCUUCCUUCCAAGAAUCCCUGCCCCAGGAUGGGGAGGUGAUUGGAGUGAACACCAUGAAGGUCACAGCUGGAAUCUCCUUUGCCAUCCCUUCUGAUCGUCUUCGAGAGUUUCUGCAUCGUGGGGAAAAGAAGAAUUCCUCCUCCGGAAUCAGUGGGUCCCAGCGGCGCUACAUUGGGGUGAUGAUGCUGACCCUGAGUCCCAGCAUCCUUGCUGAACUACAGCUUCGAGAACCAAGCUUUCCCGAUGUUCAGCAUGGUGUACUCAUCCAUAAAGUCAUCCUGGGCUCCCCUGCACACCGGGCUGGUCUGCGGCCUGGUGAUGUGAUUUUGGCCAUUGGGGAGCAGAUGGUACAAAAUGCUGAAGAUGUUUAUGAAGCUGUUCGAACCCAAUCCCAGUUGGCAGUGCAGAUCCGGCGGGGACGAGAAACACUGACCUUAUAUGUGACCCCUGAGGUCACAGAAUGAAUAGAUCACCAAGAGUAUGAGGCUCCUGCUCUGAUUUCCUCCUUGCCUUUCUGGCUGAGGUUCUGAGGGCACCGAGACAGAGGGUUAAAUGAACCAGUGGGGGCAGGUCCCUCCAACCACCAGCACUGACUCCUGGGCUCUGAAGAAUCACAGAAACACUUUUUAUAUAAAAUAAAAUUAUACCUAGCAACAUAUUAUAGUAAAAAAUGAGGUGGGAGGGCUGGAUCUUUUCCCCCACCAAAAGGCUAGAGGUAAAGCUGUAUCCCCCUAAACUUAGGGGAGAUACUGGAGCUGACCAUCCUGACCUCCUAUUAAAGAAAAUGAGCUGCUGCCAUCUUUUGUGGGCAGUUAGUCAGGUGCUGCUCUUUGUGGUGUGGUGGGCUCUGGUCUGUUCUGCUCGGUGCUGGGCCUGGGAGCAAAGAUUCCCAUGCUUGGCUACAGAUACUGACAGCUGGCCUCUGAAGGAGGGUGAAAACUUCUGCUUGACAGUUCCACAUCCAUAGUGCAUGGUCUGAUGAGUGCGGUUGCUGACAUGGGUUUCUUGGUAAGCUCCUGAGGUAAUGGCAGCCUC